rnacentral:misc_RNA from 1 species
AACUAAGCCACCACCUGUUGAAGAUGUCCUUGCUGCAACAAUUAAGUUGUUUCAGAGUGCCGACUCAAUGGCUUUCCCGCUGAUGGAUUUACUUGUGACUCUUUGUAAUCGGAACAAAGGAGAAGAUCGUGCAAAAGUGACUUCAUAUAUGAUUCACCAAUUGAAAGAUUGCCAGCUGGAAUUUUCCAGGGACACUGGUGCCUUGUGUAUGAUAGCACAUACUUUAGCAUUGCUUCUUUCUGAAGAUGAAAAGAUACGGGAAAUUGCGG